rnacentral:rRNA from 1 species
UACGAAGGGGGCUAGCGUUGUUCGGAAUUACUGGGCGUAAAGCGCACGUAGGCGGAUUGUUAAGUUAGGGGUGAAAUCCCAGGGCUCAACCCUGGAACUGCCUUUAAUACUGGCAAUCUCGAGUCCGAGAGAGGUGAGUGGAAUUCCGAGUGUAGAGGUGAAAUUCGUAGAUAUUCGGAGGAACACCAGUGGCGAAGGCGGCUCACUGGCUCGGUACUGACGCUGAGGUGGCGAAAGCGUGGGGAGCAACAGG